GUUGAAACACUGGUCACCCUAUGAUCACCAAAAUUAAGCAACGUCGAGCCUGGUCAGUACUUAGAUGUGUGACCUCUUGGGAAUACCAGGUGGUGUAAG